rnacentral:rRNA from 1 species
AUUGAACGCUGGCGGCAUGCCUUACACAUGCAAGUCGAACGGCAGCACGGGUGCUUGCACCUGGUGGCGAGUGGCGAACGGGUGAGUAAUACAUCGGAACAUGUCCUGUAGUGGGGGAUAGCCCGGCGAAAGCCGGAUUAAUACCGCAUACGAUCUACGGAUGAAAGCGGGGGACCUUCGGGCCUCGCGCUAUAGGGUUGGCCGAUGGCGGAUUAGCUAGUUGGUGGGGUAAAGGCCUACCAAGGCGACGAUCAGUAGCUGGUCUGAGAGGACGACCAGCAACAGUGGAACAGAGACACGGCACAGACUACGACGGGAGGCCGAAGUGGGGAAUUUUUGGAAAUGGUCGAAAGAUUGACGGAGAAAUGCCGCGUGAGUGAAGAAGGUCUUCGGAUCGGAAAGCGCGGGUAUCCGGAAAGAAAACAUUGGCACGUAACAGUUCAGAGCAUGACGGGGCCGAAGGAGAACGCAACGGCUACCUACGUG